AUUGAACGCUGGCGGAAUGCUUUACACAUGCAAGUCGAACGGCAGCACGGACUUCGGUCUGGUGGCGAGUGGCGAACGGGUGAGUAAUACAUCGGAACGUGCCCAAUCGUGGGGGAUAACGUAGCGAAAGCUACGCUAAUAACGCAUACGAUCUAAGGAUGAAAGCGGGGGAUCGCAAGACCUCGCGCGUUUGGAGCGGCAGAUGGCAGAGUAGGUAGUUGGUAGGGUAAAGGCCUACCAAGCCGACGAUCUGUAGCUGGUCCGAGAGGAUGAUCAGUCACACUGGGACUGAGACACGGCCCAGACUCCUACGGGAGGCAGCAGUGGGGAAUUUUGGACAAUGGACGCAAGUCUGAUCCAGCCAUUCCGCGUGCAGGAUGAAGGCCCUCGGGUUGUAAACUGCUUUUGUACAGAACGAAAAGGCUCUGGUUAAUACCUAGGGCUAAUGACGGUACUGUAAGAAUAAGCACCGGCUAACUACGUGCCAGCCGCCGCCGUAA
rnacentral:rRNA from 1 species